rnacentral:rRNA from 1 species
UACAGAGACCUCAAGCGUUAUCCGGAAUCAUUGGGCGUAAAGCGUACCGAUAGGUGGUUUUAAAAGUCUUGGGUGAAAUCCUGAAGCUCAACUUCAGAUUUGCUUAAGAUACUAUAAGACUAGGAGGCAGGAGAGGCAAGCGGUACUCAGUGGGUAGGGGUAAAAUCCGUUGAUCCAUUGAAGACCACCAGUGGCGAAGGCGGCUUGCCAGAAUGCGCUCGACGGUGAGGGAUGAAAGCUGGGGGAGCAAACCGG